CAUAUAAAUUGUGGUGGAGGCAACAUAGUCAUUACAAACUCUUCAUAUGAAACCACGUAUGAAGCUGACAACAACGUAACCACAGCCGCAACAAAUCAGCACUUCAAAAACUGGGGAAUCAGUAACACAGGUGAAUUCCAAGACGAUGGUCAGGAGAAUGAUAACUACUUCUUUUCUACACUAUCUAGAGAUUCUUCUGAACUGUAUAAGACUGCACGUCGAUCUGCUCUCUCUCUUGUUUAUUAUGCAUUUUGCUUGAAAAAUGGAACCUACAAUGUGAAACUCCAUUUUAUGGAGACUCAGUUUUCCGACGAAGAACCCUACAGUCGUCUAGGCAUACGUAUAUUUGAUGUCUUUGUCCAGGUAAAGCGUCCUUGUUUACUGAAUAAUUGUUUACAAUAAGUAGGCACGGCAGAUUGAAGUUUAUUUCCUUUUUCCUCUCCUGUUAGGGGGAAUUGUUCUUGAAAGAUUUUAAUAUCAAAAAGGAAGCUAAGGGGACUCUGAAGCCUUUUGUGAAAGAAAAGAAAGUUAAUGUGACCAAUCAUAUGUUAGAGAUACGGUUGUAUUGGGCGGGGAAAGGAACAACACUCAUUCCCAGCAGAGGAAACUAUGGUCCUCUUAUCUCUGCAAUCUCCUUGUGUCACCAAAGUAAGUACCCUUCUUCUUCAAAAACCUUAAUCCUUUUCCGUAUUGCUUUUGUGGCUUACUUCGCAUUCAGUUGUUUCAUUGUUAAGUGGUCAUACAUCACUCUCAUCUUCUUACAUUGGUUCUUGCCACCUAAUGAUUCAUUUUUCAAAAAAUUCAGGUAUGGAGCCACUAUGUGGAGCUCAAAAGAAAAAAGGAAACUACUUUGUUUUAAAGAUACUUUUCUGUAGCUUGGUGUAUAUAUAAUGCAUCAUGUAUAUAUAUUUACACUUUUCGUGUGUCAUUUGCAGUAGAGAAGAAAAAACAUCACACUGAUUAUCCACUAAUAUUUGGGUUUCGGGUUCCGUGAUAGCAAUAACUCUCUUGGCUUAAAUCUAUAUUUUUAUAUAUAAAAAAAAUUAUAAAUACAAUAAAUAAAAUUGAAAAGGGUCCAAAAUUAUUUGAUAUGUAUAUAGUUUUAUUUUCAUUACAAAAUAUAUAAAAUAUUAUUGAUUAAAUUUUAAAAAUAUUUUAAACAUUAUCUUUAUAUAAAUUUUAGAGAGUAAAAAAAUUUUUUUUGCCCUAGGGCCCCUAUCAGUAUUGAGCCGGCCCUGCAUCUUUUUGACAUGCAUGAUUCUUUCAGCUAUUUGACUGGAAAUAGACUUUCUGGAAAUGUUGAAUCUUCUGGUCUUUUCAAUAGCGAGUCUAAUAUGUACGUUUAACCUUUCCCUUGUCUACAUGACCUAAGAAAUUUUUCGUCAUGCAGACUAAUAUUUUUUUUAUGGUUUCCUGUUUUGGUUUUGGUCAUAGUGAUCUCUCUUACAACAAUUUCUCUUGGUCAUCUACCUGCCAUGAAAAGAGGCAUGAACAUGAAAUCUUUGAAGAUAGAAAAUAUUCUUCUCUUAUAUAAAUGUUAAUAAUUUGCUCAUGUUGAAGUUUUUAUAUUUCACCUUCUGUUGAAUCAGCAACAUUAACACAUACCGGAGUUCACAUUUUAUGAAAAACUUGUAAGUACUAAUACUUAGUCUUUUCAUAAUUGUUUUGAUAUUUUGUGCUGAUGACAGGGCUACCUAACUAUUCUGGUGUCUUGUCAUACAGAACUGGGCUUCUUCCAUGUGCUGGUCCAGUCAACUGCACGGACUGUAAGUAUGCUAUGAUGUGCGAUGAGUUAACAUGAAGCUAUUCUGAUGUCUUCUUUGCCUGUUAAUUCUUUCUUGCAAUUAAUGGUGAUAAUCAUUAUAUGGAUUGUAGAUCAAGGGUUUCUACAUAUAAAUUGUGGUGGAGGCAACAUAGUCAUUACAAACUCUUCAUAUGAAACCACGUAUGAAGCUGACAACAACGUAACCACAGCCGCAACAAAUCAGCACUUCAAAAACUGGGGAAUCAGUAACACAGGUGAAUUCCAAGACGAUGGUCAGGAGAAUGAUAACUACUUCUUUUCUACACUAUCUAGAGAUUCUUCUGAACUGUAUAAGACUGCACGUCGAUCUGCUCUCUCUCUUGUUUAUUAUGCAUUUUGCUUGAAAAAUGGAACCUACAAUGUGAAACUCCAUUUUAUGGAGACUCAGUUUUCCGACGAAGAACCCUACAGUCGUCUAGGCAUACGUAUAUUUG
rnacentral:lncRNA from 1 species